rnacentral:siRNA from 1 species
UGACCUUGUUGUUGUUGUGGAGGA